GUAACUGACGCUAAUGCUCGAAGGUGCGGGUAUCGAACAGGAUUAGAUACCCUGGUAGUCCGCACGGUAAACGAUGGAUGCCCGCUGUUGGCGAUACAGUGUCAGCGGCCAAGCGAAAGCGUUAAGCAUCCCACCUGGGGAGUACGCCGGCAACGGUGAAACUCAAAGGAAUUGACGGGGGCCCGCACAAGCGGAGGAACAUGUGGUUUAAUUCGAUGAUACGCGAGGAACCUUACCCGGGCUUGAACUGCAGCAGACGGAUUCAGAGAUGAUGACUCCCUUCGGGGCUGCUGUGGAGGUGCUGCAUGGUUGUCGUCAGCUCGUGCCGUGAGGUGUCGGCUUAAGUGCCAUAACGAGCGCAACCCCUUUCGUCAGUUGCCAUCAGGUGAAGCUGGGCACUCUGGCGACACUGCCACCGUAAGGUGUGAGGAAGGUGGGGAUGACGUCAAAUCAGCACGGCCCUUACGUCCGGGGCUACACACGUGUUACAAUGGGUGGUACAGAGAGAUGGCGGCCCGCAAGGUCCGUCAAAUCACGAAAGCCAUCCUCAGUUCGGAUUGGGGUCUGCAACCCGACCCCAUGAAGCUGGAUUCGCUAGUA
rnacentral:rRNA from 1 species